rnacentral:piRNA from 1 species
UAUGAAGCUUAGUGGCACUUACUGC